GAGUGAGGUUACCGGGAAACCCAAUUACCCUCCCCUUUCCCAAUCUCCCCAAUUCCUGAAUGGGGAUUCACGAUCCAACUCAAUCCCCAAAGGCCGGUAACGCAUUUUUAACGCCUCUGGUGUUUCAGGUGUCCAUGGGCGGCGCCGAUUGCUUACCAUCAGGUGAUCCGUCAGCUCUUUUACCGGCUUUAUGCCAUUAAAAAAAAUUGUCAUCAGCCUCCGACUGACAGGCAAUAUUCUGUGCAUUUUCAGCGAUCUAACAGCGGCCCUCAAAGUAUCUAUCUAACAUUAAAAAAGGGUUGUCAACGAGGAUGGCGACAAUCCUUUUAACGGAGAGGUCUUUGUUUAGCAAUGGAUAUCUUCUUGCUGAUGUAGAUAAUAGUAUAAGAAUGAUGUUAGUAUAUGAAUUAUAAGAAUGAUGUCAUUGUUAGUUUCGUACAGUAGUGUUUGUGUUGUAGCGGUGUCCCUGCUGUGCGCGCUGUGCGCGGGGCGCGCGGCGCGGGAGUGCGUGUCGGCGCUGACGGCCGGCCUGCAGCUCGCCGUGCACCACUGUCGGCACCACCCCGCACUACUGCCCGCACUCAGGUCGGUGGCGGUACCUACUAUAUGACAAUAGUUAGCGCGCGGCGCGGGAGUGCGUGUCGGCGCUGACGGCCGGCCUGCAGCUCGCCGUGCACCACUGUCGGCACCACCCCGCACUACUGCCCGCACUCAGGUCGGUGGCGGUACCUACUAUAUGACAAUAGUUAGCGCGCGGCGCGGGAGUGCGUGUCGGCGCUGACGGCCGGCCUGCAGCUCGCCGUGCACCACUGUCGGCACCACCCCGCACUACUGCCCGCACUCAGGUCGGUGGCGGUACCUACUAUAUGACAAUAGUUAGCGCGCGGCGCGGGAGUGCGUGUCGGCGCUGACGGCCGGCCUGCAGCUCGCCGUGCACCACUGUCGGCACCACCCCGCACUACUGCCCGCACUCAGGUCGGUGGCGGUACCUACUAUAUGACAAUAGUUAGCGCGCGGCGCGGGAGUGCGUGUCGGCGCUGACGGCCGGCCUGCAGCUCGCCGUGCACCACUGUCGGCACCACCCCGCACUACUGCCCGCACUCAGGUCGGUGGCGGUACCUACUAUAUGACAAUAGUUAGCGCGCGGCGCGGGAGUGCGUGUCGGCGCUGACGGCCGGCCUGCAGCUCGCCGUGCACCACUGUCGGCACCACCCCGCACUACUGCCCGCACUCAGAAAAUUAGAAGAAAACGUACAAACGCCAGCGUUAUCUCAGUACAAAGCUGCUAUAGAAGCCUUAAUACACAACUUAGUGGGUACUGGAACAAGCGGGGACAUGAUGAGGGAACCCCCACCACGACCAAACACCAACCUACAAGCUGCACAGGAGGUCGGCAGGAGAGUCACGCAGAUAUUCCAACAAUCUAAAUCAAAUAUGAACUUACAGAACAUAUUUAAGAAGAAAACUUAAUGGUAAUUGCUUUAAUGAUUUUAAGUAUAGAAAUGAAAUGUCAGGAAAUAUUGGGGUAUGAUGUUUUAUUGCAUUUUUGUUCUAAUAUGAUAAAGAAAUGAAGCUACAGUAAGAUUAUAGCAGUAUCUCUUCACAUAUUAGAACAAUCACGGUAAUAUAACGUCACAAUAUUGUCUCCUAGAUCAUAGAAUGUUCAAAACAAAUUAGAAGGCUAAUGUUUUCAGAUAUUUUCGAAAACUACUUCAAACUCUUAUUCAAUAUUUUCAAAAUUCAGCUAAGUGCCUAGGGUAGUUAUUAGAAUGGAUCAUCGCACUCAGUGUAACGAUAAUUGUAUCCACUCACAUCACAUCUAUGCAGUGAUUUCGAUGACGUUUGAACUAUUAUAAUCCGAUAACAAAUAUGCUGGUGCAUGCAAGCUUAGAUCUAAUAAUGUGUCAAAAGAAAUAAAAAUAAUUAUUUACCUAUUUGUACAAUAACUUCAUUAAAACUAUUUCGUAUGGUGAUCCAGUGAAUUAGAAAUGAAGAAAAUAUUAAUUGUUCGCAUUUCAAAAUGCGUGGUUCGUUGUUUAAAAACUUCGCGGGAGAUGAGAACUGGUUUUCUUGGGGGCGCAAUUUAUCUCUUGCACAAUAAUUUGUAAUUAAAUAGCAUAAACAAUUAUUUAUCUACUUUCUUACACAAUAAUUUUUCAAGCAAGUCAUGCUUACUUCAAGAAUUCUUAUUUUACUUUCGUUAUCUACAAUUUAUAGGGGGUAAGGUUACAAAUAUGUGUUAAAAAAGAUAAAUAGAUAUGUACCCCCUAUGAUAUUGGAUAUUAAAAUGAUUAAAACUGUCAGUAAAAUACCGAUUUAAAAUUAAGAAGAAAUAAAAUAAAUGGGAAUAAGAUACCCUCUUGCGUAAUAAUAUGUAACGUAAUUAAUAAUAAUUUUACAUUUUUUAUCAAAAGUUGAAGCAAUAUUUUCUUGCAAGUCAUACCUAGUAGGAUGGAUGGUCGCCGCCGUAGCCGCUCCGUAUUAAAGAAUAUUAUCAGCAUCUUCGUUUAGAAUAAAUAUAAUAAACAAUUUUGUCAUGAAAGAACUGAAUUGCCAUAACAACACGCCUUUUUUUAUCCCCGAUGGGGUAGACAGAGGUGCACAUUACGGCACUUAUGCCAUUGUACACUUUUCACUAUUUAUGUUAUUACAUGGUGAAAUGAAAAGUGUACAUGGCAUUAAGUAUUUUGAUCAUAAUCUUAUUUGUUUCAAAAAUUGGAUCACCUAGUGAAACAUCUUUGAUUUUUACAUUAAUUAAACAAAAACGCGUAAUAUGAAUAGGAAAUCAAUCAAAACAUUAUAUUUUAUUAAAUCUAUAUUUCCUCUAAACAAAAUAAUAAUGCCAUUAAUCAAACUAUUUUAGUAUAAAUGAAUGCUUUAACCAAACGCAUGACAAGGAUUUCUCGUAACUCCAUAUUUUAGAAGCUAUUUCAUGUUACUAGAUAGCUAAGUCAGAUAAAUGUCGAAAUUAUACAUUCCUCAUGAUAUUACUUCUUUACUCUUAUUUUUAUUUAUCUUUAUGUUCAGUAUAAGCCAAAAUGGUUCAAAUCAUUUUUUAUAUGUAUAUGUUUAACACUAAGAGUCCUAAGUUAAUUAUUAUGUUAUUCGGCUUAUUC